UAUUUCGGUCGUUUUGUUGAUUUCUAUAAUUCAUUCAGUUUAUUCGAGAUUUUAUUUGUGCAAGACUAGAAACUGUUUUCAUCCCACCUCUAAUUGGGUGCCUACUUCUCGUGAGUUCUGCAAACUAAUCCAACAGUGAAAUGUGUAAGAAAUGUCUCAUCUAACUGCUAGGUGGAUUAAAUCGGUUUUUUAAUUAGUUUUCAUAAAACUAACUAAUAACAUCUAAUGUAAAAAAAAAACUAGAUAAAUUUCAAAGUAAUGUUGUUGUUAACUAUUCUGUUACAAUUUUCAUAAACAUACGCAGAAAACUGUACUGAUGAGAUAGUUUGGUUAGUCAGAAAUAUGUAAGAGGGCGGCAAAUUUAACUUUUUUGCCCCGAGCGGCAAAAAAGUCUAACGCCGCCACUGAGUAGAUAAACAAAUAAAAAGAUCUAAGUUACUCCGAAAAAUAAGAUUCUGAUAGUGGCUCCACGAGAGUCGCUUACCUACAUUCGGUGGAAAGAAUAUAAACCUGUCGGUGACAGUUCCCUUGAUAAGUAUGGAAGAUCACAAACAACGGUUGGAAGAUUCGGAUCUUGAUAUGUUUGACGUUUCGCCGCCAACCGGAACCGAAGGAUAUAUUCAAAAAGAAUGAAGACUACACGAUAUGCAAUGGACUGAUCAGACCAAAUGUUUAUGUUCGGUUUACUGAAAAAAGUAUAGAAGAAUUGGACGGCGAAAUGGAGUAUGAUGUCAAUAAAUAAGAUGCAAUUUGGAUAGGUAUCAUGAAUGAACGACGGCUGUCGCAAAAUUGUGUUCGGUCGCUGUUUAUUGGACCUCUUGAUUGAGCCCUUCUUACAAGUGUCAGUAAUCGGGCAGAAAGGAUCAGUCGUGGAUGACGAUGCGGUUUGUUAUAUCAAUGGAUGGAAUGUGUCAGAAUACGAAUAUCAUCAAGAUUUCUUCGGAAUUUCGCACAUUCCGGAAGGGCUGUGGCAUUGAAGACGAUGUUUGCAAUGGAAUGUGUUUUAGAUAAGUGGAGCCUUGAAGUAGGUGGACAGUGUUCACUGGGCUCACGUAGUAUGUGCGCAAUAGAUUAGUUUUGGAAUCAAUAGACGGUAGAAAUGAUUCCUACGGCUCAACGGCGGCUAUUUUGUUAUAUUUGUAAGCAGAAGGGAAUUAGACCUUGCAUUCAAUACAAAAAUUCCUGCUAUGCUGCUUUCUUCGCAACUCCCCAGGAGGCUGCCCUCUGCAUGUGAAUGGAUCAUAUACGAGGUAUGGACACCCAUCCGAUUGCGGUGCAAAAAAGUGUGAUCCUCACACCAGAUUUAUUAAAAAUUUGUUCAGUGCUGUGAUUUUUUGUGGCCAAAUAUUUUGGAAAUUCAUAAAAAAAUAGUUAUUACGAAAGGUGCCCGUAAAUAUUAGAAAGACUUUCGAACAUUUAAUCGAACAAUUCGUUUGACUAAUGAAACCAAUUCGUAAAAAGCCUACGAAAGUCGUUUCGUUGGUUUUACGAACAAAUUGUAAUAAAAAUAAAAUCUUUUCCAAAUCA